CUUUCGAAGCAAAAGUCAGUCUCUGCCCUUCGGUGAGAUUAUGAGUAAUGCGUUCUCCGGCACGUUCUUCACGCGUUUCUCUUUUCCUUUUUGACUCGUAGCCCCUCUUACCUCUUCUUCCUCUUCGUCGACCAUCGUCGUCCUUCCUUUCCGCAGGACGCUGAUAGAGAGCAGCUCUCUUCUCUUGGGCACGGUCGUCCCAUUAGCGUAAUGGCUCUUGCGGUAUAGUCUUCGCAUUUAACUCACCAAAUUUCUCUCCUUUCGUCUUCGCUCGCAGUGCUAAAACAAACUUGGCUCCUUCGUGAAAAAGAAAAAAAAAAAAAAAACAAAAGCAAGAAAAGAAAGAAAGAAAGAAAGAAAGAAAAGAGGAGAAAAAAAGCCUUUACAUUCUAAUCUAAAACUAACAUAACUAUUUCGAGUUCGACGCAUGGCUAUUUAAAAAUCUUCCUCUUAUCUCUCGACACGUAUCGAUGAUCAAGAACGGAGAGAUCAACGUGGCACUCGAUCGAUAUCUUCUCGAGAACUAUCCGACGAUUGACUCUCGAAACGUUUUCUUUUAUUUAUUUCUUUAUUUUUAUUAUCGUCACGAAAUCACUACGAAGUCGUAAACUCGCGGAAAAAAGAAAAUAAGAUAAAAGAACAAAGUAAGAAAGAAAGAAAGAAAGAAAGAAAGAGA